rnacentral:rRNA from 1 species
GUUUCUUGUUGGAGGUAGAGCUACUGGAUGGCCGAUGGGCCCUACUAGGUUACUGACGUCAGCCAAACUCCGAAUGCCAAUAAGUUAGAGCGCGGCAGUGAGACGGCGGGGGAGAAGCUCCGUACGUCGAGAGGGAAACAGCCCAGAUCGCCGGCUAAGGCCCCUAAGCGUGUACUAAGUGGAAAAGGAUGUGCAGUCGCGAAGACAACCAGGAGGUUGGCUUAGAAGCAGCCACCCUUGAAAGAGUGCGUAAUAGCUCACUGGUCAAGUGAUUGUGCGCCGACAAUGUAGCGGGGCUCAAGUACACCGCCGAAGCCGCGGCAUUCAUGCAAUACAUUCCCUUCGGGGCAGUGGCAUGGAUGGGUAGGGGAGCGUCCUGCACCCAGCGAAGCUGCGAAGUAAUUCAGCAGUGGAGGGUGCGGGAGUGAGAAUGCAGGCAUGAGUAGCGACAGGCAAGUGAGAAACUUGCCCGCCGAAUGACCAAGGGUUCCUGGGCCAGGCUAGUCCUCCCAGGGUAAGUCGGGACCUAAGGCGAGGCCGACAGGCGUAGUCGAUGGACAACGGGUUGAUAUUCCCGUACCCGUGUGUGCGCGCCCAUGAUGAAUCAUCGGUACUAACCACCCAAAAGGUUCUAGAUCAAUCUCUUCGGAGUGCGACGUGAACCCGCUGCGUGGGACCUUCGGUGGUAGUAGUCAAGCGAUGGGGUGACGCAGGAAGGUAGCUGUACCGGUUAGUGGUUAUACCGGAGCAAGCCCGUAGGACGACAUCUAGGCAAAUCCGGAUGUCAUACGUCUGAGAGGUGACGCAUAGCCGAUUGAGGCGAAUUCAGUGAUCCUAUGCUGCCAAGAAAAGCCUCUAGUGAGUUCACACACGGCCCGUACCCCAAACCAACACAGGUGGUCAGGUAGAGAAUACUAAGGCGUACGAGAUAACUAUGGUUAAGGAACUCGGCAAAAUACCCCCGUAACUUCGGGAGAAGGGGGACCUCGCUUGGUGACCGGACUUGCUCCGUGAGCUGAACGAGGUCGCAGAGACCAGUGAGAAGCGACUGUUUACUAAAAACACAGGUCCGUGCGAAGUCGCAAGACGAUGUAUACGGACUGACGCCUGCCCGGUGCUGGAAGGUUAAGAGGACCCGUUAACCCUUGGGUGAAGCGGAGAAUUUAAGCCCCAGUAAACGGCGGUGGUAACUAUAACCAUCCUAAGGUAGCGAAAUUCCUUGUCGGGUAAGUUCCGACCUGCACGAAUGGCGUAACGACUUCUCAACUGUCUCAACCAUAGACUCGGCGAAAUUGCACUACGAGUAAAGAUGCUCGUUACGCGCGGCAGGACGAAAAGACCCCGGGACCUUCACUAUAGCUUGGUAUUGGCGUUUGGUUCGGUUUGUGUAGGAUAGGUGGGAGACUGUGAAGCAGGCACGCCAGUGUUUGUGGAGUCAUCGUUGAAAUACCACUCUGAUCGUAUUGAACCUCUAACCUCGGACCGUAUAUCCGGUCCAGGGACAGUGCCUGGUGGGUAGUUUAACUGGGGCGGUUGCCUCCCAAAAUGUAACGGAGGCGCCCAAAGGUUCCCUCAACCUGGACGGCAAUCAGGUGUUGAGUGCAAGUGCACAAGGGAGCUUGACUGCGAGACCUACAAGUCAAGCAGGGACGAAAGUCGGGACUAGUGAUCCGGCACCUCUGAGUGGAAGGGGUGUCGCUCAACGGAUAAAAGGUACCCCGGGGAUAACAGGCUGAUCUUCCCCAAGAGUCCAUAUCGACGGGAUGGUUUGGCACCUCGAUGUCGGCUCGUCGCAUCCUGGGGCUGGAGCAGGUCCCAAGGGUUGGGCUGUUCGCCCAUUAAAGCGGCACGCGAGCUGGGUUUAGAACGUCGUGAGACAGUUCGGUCUCUAUCCGCCGCGCGCGUCAGAAACUUGAGGAAACCUGUCCCUAGUACGAGAGGACCGGGACGGACGAACCUCUGGUGUACCAGUUGUUCCACCAGGAGCACGGCUGGAUAGCUACGUUCGGACAGGAUAACCGCUGAAAGCAUCUAAGCGGGAAACCUAUUCCAAGACCAGGUUUCUCACCCUUUUAGAGGGAUAAGGUCACCCACAGACUAUGGGUUCAAUAGGCCAGACCUGCAAGCGUAGUAAUACGUUCAGGGAACUGGCACUAAUCGACCGAAAACUUACUAAU